rnacentral:lncRNA from 1 species
UGGACACAAUAUCUUUAUUUAUUUACUUAGUUUUUUGUGGUGCUGAGGAUCAAACCCAGUGCUUCACACAUGCCAGGUGAGCUCUCUAUCUCUGAGCUACAACCUCAGCCCCAGAAAUAGUCUUUUUGCUUGCUAUGUUUUAUCAGGCUUGGCUGUUUGAUAAUAAUUGAAGUUUCUCUCCAAACAUUUUGGAAAAAUCAUAAAAUUUUAAAACAAAACUCACCAAUAUCUUUGCCAAAGAAAACGCUAUUAACAUUUUACAGACUUCUCUCCAUACUUUUAUCUGUACAUAUAUGAAGACUUAAAAUAUGCAGCUUAAAGGGUCAGCACUGGGGAUUGAACCAAGGAACAUUUCAUCUUUGAGCUACAUAUCCAGCUGUAUUAAAAAUUUUGAGACGGUGUGUUAGCCAGCUUUUCAUCAUUGUUUCCAAAAUGCCUGACAGGAACAACUUAGAGGAGGAAGAGUAGAUAUUGUUUCACUGUUUCAGAGGUUCAGUUCAUGGUCAGCUGACACCGUUACUCUGAGCCUAAGGGAAGCACAACAUUGUGGGAUGUGGUGGUAGAGGGAAGCUAUUCAGAGGCCUGGAAGCAGAGAGCACAGAAGCUGGGGACAAGAUAUAUAAUCCCCAAUGGCACACUUCCAGUGACCUGCCUACAGCCACAUCCUACCUAUAUAUAACUAUAAUUAUCUCCUAGUACAGUAGUCCUUUCAAAUUAUUAAUCCAUAAAAUGGAUUAAUCUGAUUAGAGUACAGAUCUUAUAAUCUAAUCAUGAAUUUUUGGGGAACACCUCAUAAUCAAACCAUAACAGAUAGGGUUUUGCUAAAUUGCCCAGGCUGGCCUCAAACUUGUCAUCCUCUUGCCCAGCUUCUGGAGUAGCUGAGAUUACAGAUGUGUCACUAUGCCCAGCUUCAAUAAAAUAUUUUUAAAUUGUAAACUUAAACUGUUUAAACAAGGCUGUGGAAAGGAGUCAAAAGUGUAAGGGUUGGUAAAAGAAAAAAAAUAUUUUGUAGUGCUUUAUUCCUCCUAUAGACACUUAAGAGAAUGUCAAGUGGGACUGACAAGAUAGAAUAGCAUUGCCAAAAUUGUGAGGCCACACUCUCGGUAGAGCAGUGGCAAUUGUGCAAAUUGGGCACAGUUGCCUUCAAGCAACAUUGUUGUCUGUGGUCAGAUUUUCUGUAUGGUUGACAGAGGGCUAGUAGUGUCUUAGGUCAGACAUAGGGUAGACCAUAGCAUGCAAGGAAUGACGCAAGGCACUAAUUUAAAAUUUGAUGUUAGAAUGGGUCUAAUGAAAUAUAGUGUGAACCAUUAUACAAUAAAAAUUUUUCCAGUAGUCAUGUUAAGAAGGUAAAAGGAACCAGGAACAACGAAUUUUAAUUAUAUAUUUAACAUCUUCAAUGUAAUUCCUACAUCUAAUCAAUAUUUUAAAAAUUAUUAGCGCUCAGUGCAGUGGCCCCAUGCCUGCAAUCCCAGUGGCUUGGGAGGCUGAGUCAG